rnacentral:rRNA from 1 species
UACGAAGGGGGCUAGCGUUGCUCGGAAUCACUGGGCGUAAAGGGUGCGUAGGCGGGUCUUUAAGUCAGGGGUGAAAUCCUGGAGCUCAACUCCAGAACUGCCUUUGAUACUGAAGAUCUUGAGUAUGGGAGAGGUGAGUGGAACUGCGAGUGUAGAGGUGAAAUUCGUAGAUAUUCGCAAGAACACCAGUGGCGAAGGCGGCUCACUGGCCCAUUACUGACGCUGAGGCACGAAAGCGUGGGGAGCAAACAGG